AAUAGAAACUUGUGAUACUGAAUAGUUUGCUAACUAUUUAAGUUGAUGAAUUCCAGUCCAUUCUGGAAGUAUACAUUGAAUGGUAAAUAAUA